rnacentral:rRNA from 1 species
AGGGCGACCGGCCACACUGGGACUGAGACACGGCCCAGACUCCUACGGGAGGCAGCAGUGGGGAAUAUUGCACAAUGGGCGGAAGCCUGAUGCAGCGACGCCGCGUGAGGGAUGAAGGCCUUCGGGUUGUAAACCUCUUUCGACAGGGACGAAGCGUGAGUGACGGUACCUGGAGAAGAAGCUCCGGCCAACUACGUGCCAGCAGCCGCGGUAAGACGUAGGGGGCGAGCGUUGUCCGGAUUUAUUGGGCGUAAAGAGCUCGUAGGCGGCUCGUUGCGUCGGCUGUGAAAACCCGCAGCUCAACUGUGGGCUUGCAGCUGAUACGGGCGGGCUGGAGUUCGGUAGGGGAGACUGGAAUUCCUGGUGUAGCGGUGAAAUGCGCAGAUAUCAGGAGGAACACCGGUGGCGAAGGCGGGUCUCUGGGCCGAUACUGACGCUGAGGAGCGAAAGCGUGGGGAGCGAACAGGAUUAGAUACCCUGGUAGUCCACGCUGUAAACGUUGGGCGCUAGGUGUGGGGGGCCUCUCCGGUUCUCUGUGCCGCAGCUAACGC